rnacentral:rRNA from 1 species
CCUACGGGAGGCAGCAGUCGGGAAUCUUCCGCAAUGGGCGAAAGCCUGACGGAGCGACGCCGCGUGAGCGAUGAAGGCCUUCGGGUUGUAAAGCUCUGUGGGGAGAGAAGAAUAAGUUCAGGCGAAUACCCUGAAUGAUGACGGUAUCUCCUUAGCAAGCACCGGCUAACUCUGUGCCAGCAGCCGCGGUAAGACAGAGGGUGCAAACGUUGUUCGGAUUUACUGGGCGUAAAGCGUGUGUAGGCGGCUUCGUAAGUUGGAUGUGAAAUCCCACGGCUCAACCGUGGACGUGCAUCCAAAACUACGUCGCUGGAGUCUCGGAGAGGAAGGUGGAAUGCUUGGUGUAGAGGUGAAAUUCGUAGAUAUCAAGCAGAACACCUGCGGCGAAGGCGGCCUUCUGGACGAUGACUGACGCUGAGACACGAAAGCGUGGGGAGCAAACAGGAUUAGAUACCCGGGUAGUC